CUAAGGCUCCAGAGGAAGCCACGGCUAACUCUGUGCCAGCAGCCGCGGUAAUACAGAGGCGGCAAGCGUUGUUCGGAAUUAUUGGGCGUAAAGAGCACGUAGGCGGCCUUGCAAGUCAGUUGUGAAAGCCUUCCGCUUAACGGAAGAAUGCCAGCUGAUACUACAGGGCUUGAGUACGGGAGGGGAGAGUGGAACUUCUGGUGGAGCGGUGAAGUGCGUAGAUAUCAGAAGGAACGCCGGCGGCGAAAGCGACUCUCUGGCCCGAAACUGACGCUGAGUGUGCGAAAGCUAGGGGAGCAAACGGGAUUAGAUACCCCGGUAGUCCUAGCCGUAAA
rnacentral:rRNA from 1 species